rnacentral:rRNA from 1 species
AGAGUUUGAUCCUGGCUCAGGAUGAACGCUAGCUACAGGCUUAACACAUGCAAGUCGAGGGGCAGCAUUAUCUUAGCUUGCUAAGAUAGAUGGUGACCGGCGCACGGGUGAGUAACACGUAUCCAACCUUCCGGUUACUCGGGGAUAGGCUUUCGAAAGAAAGAUUAAUACCCGAUGUUGCGUAUCUUUCUCCUGAAAGAUACGCCAAAGGAUUCCGGUAACCGAUGGGGAUGCGUUCCAUUAGGCAGUUGGCGGGGUAACGGCCCACCAAACCUUCGAUGGAUAGGGGUUCUGAGAGGAAGGUCCCCCACAUUGGAACUGAGACACGGUCCAAACUCCUACGGGAGGCAGCAGUGAGGAAUAUUGGUCAAUGGACGCAAGUCUGAACCAGCCAAGUAGCGUGAAGGAUGACUGCCCUCUGGGUUGUAAACUUCUUUUAUACGGGAAUAACAUGAGGUACGCGUACCUUAUUGCAUGUACCGUUAUGAAUAAGCAUCGGCUAACUCCGUGCCAGCAGCCGCGGUAAUACGGAGGAUGCGAGCGUUAUCCGGAUUUAUUGGGUUUAAAGGGAGCGUAGGUGGGAUAUUAAGUCAGCUGUGAAAGUUUGGGGCUCAACCUUAAAAUUGCAGUUGAUACUGGUUUCCUUGAGUACGGUACAGGUGGGCGGAAUUCGUGGUGUAGCGGUGAAAUGCUUAGAUAUCACGAAGAACUCCGAUCGCGAAGGCAGCUCACCGGGCCGGAACUGACACUGAUGCUCGAAAGUGCGGGUAUCAAACAGGAUUAGAUACCCUGGUAGUCCGCACAGUAAACGAUGAAUACUCGCUGUUUGCGAUACACUGUAAGCGGCCAAGCGAAAGCGUUAAGUAUUCCACCUGGGGAGUACGCCGGCAACGGUGAAACUCAAAGGAAUUGACGG